rnacentral:rRNA from 1 species
ACGAACGCUGGCGGCGUGCCUAAUACAUGCAAGUAGAACGCUGAAGAGAGGAGCUUGCUCUUCUUGGAUGAGUUGCGAACGGGUGAGUAACGCGUAGGUAACCUGCCUUGUAGCGGGGGAUAACUAUUGGAAACGAUAGCUAAUACCGCAUAACAAUGGAUGACACAUGUCAUUUAUUUGAAAGGGGCAAUUGCUCCACUACAAGAUGGACCUGCGUUGUAUUAGCUAGUAGGUGAGGUAAUGGCUCACCUAGGCGACGAUACAUAGCCGACCUGAGAGGGUGAUCGGCCACACUGGGACUGAGACACGGCCCAGACUCCUACGGGAGGCAGCAGUAGGGAAUCUUCGGCAAUGGGGGCAACCCUGACCGAGCAACGCCGCGUGAGUGAAGAAGGUUUUCGGAUCGUAAAGCUCUGUUGUAAGUCAAGAACGGGUGUGAGAGUGGAAAGUUCACACUGUGACGGUAGCUUACCAGAAAGGGACGGCUAACUACGUGCCAGCAGCCGCGGUAAUACGUAGGUCCCGAGCGUUGUCCGGAUUUAUUGGGCGUAAAGCGAGCGCAGGCGGUUUGAUAAGUCUGAAGUUAAAGGCUGUGGCUCAACCAUAGUUCGCUUUGGAAACUGUCAAACUUGAGUGCAGAAGGGGAGAGUGGAAUUCCAUGUGUAGCGGUGAAAUGCGUAGAUAUAUGGAGGAACACCGGUGGCGAAAGCGGCUCUCUGGUCUGUAACUGACGCUGAGGCUCGAAAGCGUGGGGAGCGAACAGGAUUAGAUACCCUGGUAGUCCACGCCGUAAACGAUGAGUGCUAGGUGUUGGAUCCUUUCCGGGAUUCAGUGCCGCAGCUAACGCAUUAAGCACUCCGCCUGGGGAGUACGACCGCAAGGUUGAAACUCAAAAGGAAUUGACGGGGGCCCGCACAAGCGGUGGAGCAUGUGGUUUAAUUCGAAGCAACGCGAAGAACCUUACCAAGUCUUGACAUCCUUCUGACCGGACAGUAAUGUGUCCUUUCCUUCGGGACAGAAGUGACAGGUGGUGCAUGGUUGUCGUCAGCUCGUGUCGUGAGAUGUUGGGUUAAGUCCCGCAACGAGCGCAACCCCUAUUGUUAGUUGCCAUCAUUCAGUUGGGCACUCUAGCGAGACUGCCGGUAAUAAACCGGAGGAAGGUGGGGAUGACGUCAAAUCAUCAUGCCCCUUAUGACCUGGGCUACACACGUGCUACAAUGGUUGGUACAACGAGUUGCGAGUCGGUGACGGCGAGCUAAUCUCUUAAAGCCAAUCUCAGUUCGGAUUGUAGGCUGCAACUCGCCUACAUGAAGUCGGAAUCGCUAGUAAUCGCGGAUCAGCACGCCGCGGUGAAUACGUUCCCGGGCCUUGUACACACCGCCCGUCACACCACGAGAGUUUGUAACACCCGAAGUCGGUGAGGUAACCUUUUGGAGCCAGCCGCCUAAGGUGGGACAGAUGAUUGGGGUG